rnacentral:misc_RNA from 1 species
AAGUCGUAACAAGGUAACCGUAGGUGAACCUGCGGUUGGAUCAUUACUGAAUCCUAUACGUAUAUGAUUAGAAAAAGUUAUUUUUUUCUUUUCAUAUAUAAACACCGUGUGCACUCUAUAGGUAUAAGCGGAAAAAGGGAUACGCAAGUGUUUCUUUAGAAGCCUAUGCUUUAUAUAAACCCCUUAUUUUCUUUUGUCUAAUUAUUAAUAUUUUUCUUAUUGGUAAAACAAUAGAAAAAGCUUAAUGUAAAAAACAACUUUUGACAACGGAUCUCUAGGCUCUC